GCAUGCAAAAUUACAACCAUUUGGCAUGGUCAGUGGAAUAUUCCUGAAGUGAAUUUAAACUGGGGGGGGGGGGCUUAAGCACCCAAUAAUAAUUUUCACAGGGCUAAGACCUGGUGGUUUAAUUAUGCUAAUGUAGAGCCCACUGUAUGCACGUAUUCCAAGUGGAAGUAUGGACCCAGACCCCUAGUUUGCGGCACCCCUAACUAUAUACGCGGUCGUAUUUGCGCUUAGCUGAAAACUAUAUUUAAUACGGUAUACCUGCUAACUUAGCUGAAAAUUUAGCCUCUUCCCCAUAGCAAAACCUCGGUUCUGCCGCCGCUAAAAUGUUGUCAAUGGUUUUUGUUAUAUUCAAAUAAUAAUGUAGAUCGAAUUCAUGUAUAUACGUUCAUUAAAAACGAAAAUAAUUCUGUUUGUCUUACAUAUAGCCUACGUAUAUAUGCGGUUCGUCAUAAUGUGUUUUGGUUUAAGCGGCAUACCUUUAAAUAUAUACAUAUAUAUCGCGAUUCCGACUGAAUAUUUGAUAUAAACAAGCGAAUUAAUAUAUAUUGCAGCUAUAGUUAGUCUUGCUCUUUCCAAUUCGUAAUAUAUAAUGGGCUUCCAUGACAUUCAAUUUUAAGUUUUUUAAUUUAAAACCAAAAGAUUAUAUGAUGUAUUAUUAUGAUUAAAAUCUAAAACUUUGCCGUGGGCAUUUUUGAAUUUCGACCAAUAGAACGGAAAAUAUCCAUGUUUGAAAUUUUUCCAAAUUUUUCCCUAUGUCGCAUAUACAAAUUUGUGACUCAUGCAAUAUUGAUUUGACUGCAAAAUUGCUAUAUUUUCUCUGCUUUACGUUUUUGUUGCAAAACUCUUUUUCGCUCGUGUUGAAAAUCGUUUUGGCCAAUGUAUUAUUUCAUAACCUAGAAGAUAAUGAGUUUAGAGAGUCUGAUUUUCUGGUAAAUCGGUCGGACAAUAUUUUUGUAUUGAUUUCCCGUAUGAUUGCGAGCGUGCUACUGUAUUUUUUUUUAAUCAGGCGCUACAAGCGCGUUGUCGUUUAGGUUUUGAAAUAAAACAUUGACCUAAACAAUUUGCAACAAGAAUAAAAAAGAGUUUUCCAACAAAAAUUUAAAAGCAGAGAAAAUAUAGCAAUUUUUAGUUUUAUUGCAGUCAAAUUCGAUUACUCAAAUUUGUAUACGCGACAUAGCGAAAAAUUUUAAACGUGAAUAUUUUCCGUUCUAGGUCGAAAUUUAAAAUGCCCACGGCAAAGUUUUAGAUUUUAAUGUGCUAUAUCAUAAUAUUUUGGUUUUAAAUUUAAAAAGUUAAAAUUGAAUGUCACGGAAGCCCGAAAAGACGACAAUAUUUUCUAGUUCGCCUUGGUGUAAAUUUCUCGUUUCCUGCAUGCAGUUUAGCUGAGAACGAAAAUGUAAACAAGUGCGCUGAUUGGUCGAGCAUGAAAUCUGCCCUUGUUACCUCAUAUAAGUAAGUGUUUGAUAUGUUAAUAAAGUCUAAAAUGUAAACAAAACUAUAUAUUGUACAAUUAUUAAAACAAUCAGCAUUUUUAAUCAAACGACAUCGAUGUAGUGGCAUUAACAUGUUCUUUCAAACGUAGUAUCUGUAACUUUAAUUUUUCCUUUUCAAGAAGAUUAAUUUCCGCUUGCAGGUUUAAUAUCUCCAGCUGCUUUUGUAGAAGAUCUUGCCGAGUAACUUUUUCUUUUUCGUCAUUGGGCUUGUUGUUCGCGCUUGGUAGGGUUGUCGGUAAAACUUGUUGCUUUGUAUUUGGGUAAGUUAUCUUCUCGGUAUGAACAGAAGCAGCU